GAAAAUGUAAAGAAUGGGAAGAGUACAGGAUAAUUAUCAUGUAGAGAUGGAAAUCAUUGGCUGAAAGUUUCCUUGAAAAAUUAUGCUGGAAUGUCGCCCAGGAACAGCUCCUUUGAACAAAUAAGGUUAAGAUGCUGCCUUUUUUAAGUAGAAGGAAGCCGGUCUAUGUACCGUUAUCAACAAAUGAAGUGUGUAUACUUUGUUUCUUUACUACACUAGAAGUAUACAAAUAAAGGUGGUACCACGGAGAGCAAACCCUUUUCGUCCUUUUA
rnacentral:ncRNA from 1 species